ACGGGUGAGUAAUGUCUGGGAAACUGCCUGAUGGAGGGGGAUAACUACUGGAAACGGUAGCUAAUACCGCAUAACGUCGCAAGACCAAAGAGGGGGACCCUCGGGCCUCUUGCCAUCGGAUGUGCCCAGAUGGGAUUAGCUAGUAGGUGGGGUAACGGCUCACCUAGGCGACGAUCCCUAGCUGGUCUGAGAGGAUGACCAGCCACACUGGAACUGAGACACGGUCCAGACUCCUACGGGAGGCAGCAGUGGGGAAUAUUGCACAAUGGGCGCAAGCCUGAUGCAGCCAUGCCGCGUGUAUGAAGAAGGCCUUCGGGUUGUAAAGUACUUUCAGCGGGGAGGAAGGGAGUAAAGUUAAUACCUUUGCUCAUUGACGUUACCCGCAGAAGAAGCACCGGCUAACUCCGUGCCAGCGGCCGCGGUAAUACGGAGGGUGCAAGCGUUAAUCGGAAUUACUGGGCGUAAAGCGCACGCAGGCGGUUUGUUAAGUCAGAUGUGAAAUCCCCGGGCUCAACCUGGGAACUGCAUCUGAUACUGGCAAGCUUGAGUCUCGUAGAGGGGGGUAGAAUUCCAGGUGU
rnacentral:rRNA from 1 species